AAAUUGAAGAGUUUGAUCAUGGCUCAGAUUGAACGCUGGCGGCAGGCCUAACACAUGCAAGUCGAACGGUAACAGGAAGCAGCUUGCUGCUUCGCUGACGAGUGGCGGACGGGUGAGUAAUGUCUGGGAAACUGCCUGAUGGAGGGGGAUAACUACUGGAAACGGUGGCUAAUACCGCAUAACGUCGCAAGACCAAAGAGGGGGACCUUCGGGCCUCUUGCCAUCAGAUGUGCCCAGAUGGGAUUAGCUUGUUGGUGAGGUAACGGCUCACCAAGGCGACGAUCCCUAGCUGGUCUGAGAGGAUGACCAGCCACACUGGAACUGAGACACGGUCCAGACUCCUACGGGAGGCAGCAGUGGGGAAUAUUGCACAAUGGGCGCAAGCCUGAUGCAGCCAUGCCGCGUGUAUGAAGAAGGCCUUCGGGUUGUAAAGUACUUUCAGCGGGGAGGAAGGUGUUGCGGUUAAUAACCGCAGCAAUUGACGUUACCCGCAGAAGAAGCACCGGCUAACUCCGUGCCAGCAGCCG
rnacentral:rRNA from 2 species